AUUGAACGCUGGCGGCAUGCCUUACACAUGCAAGUCGAACGGCAGCACGGGUGCUUGCACCUGGUGGCGAGUGGCGAACGGGUAAGUAAUACAUCGGAACAUGUCCUGUAGUGGGGGAUAGCCCGGCGAAAGCCGGAUUAAUACCGCAUACGAUCUACGGAUGAAAGCGGGGGACCUUCGGGCCUCGCGCUAUAGGGUUGGCCGAUGGCUGAUUAGCUAGUUGGUGGGGUAAAGGCCUACCAAGGCGACGAUCAGUAGCUGGUCUGAGAGGACGACCAGCCACACUGGGACUGAGACACGGCCCAGACUCCUACGGGAGGCAGCAGUGGGGAAUUUUGGAUAAAGGGCGAAAGCCUGAUCCAGCAAUGCCGCGUGUGUGAAGAAGGCCUUCGGGUUGUAAAGCACUUUUGUCCGGAAAGAAAUCCUUGGCCCUAAUACGGUCGGGGGAUGACGGUACCGGAAGAAUAAGCACCGGCUAACUACGUG
rnacentral:rRNA from 1 species